AGAGUUUGAUCCUGGCUCAGGAUGAACGCUGGCGGCGUGCCUAACACAUGCAAGUCGAACGAAGCUUGACGGAUGAUUUCUUCGGAAUGAAACCAGAUAUGACUUAGUGGCGGACGGGUGAGUAACACGUGAGCAACCUGCCUUUCAGAGGGGGAUAACGGCUGGAAACGGUCGCUAAUACCGCAUGAUGUGUUCGGAUGGCAUCAUCUGAACAUCAAAGAUUUAUCGCUGAAAGAUGGGCUCGCGUCUGAUUAGAUAGUUGGUGGGGUAACGGCCUACCAAGUCUGCGAUCAGUAGCCGGACUGAGAGGUUGAACGGCCACAUUGGGACUGAGAUACGGCCCAGACUCCUACGGGAGGCAGCAGUGGGGAAUAUUGGGCAAUGGGCGCAAGCCUGACCCAGCAACGCCGCGUGAAGGAAGAAGGCUUUCGGGUUGUAAACUUCUUUUAAGUGGGAAGAGCAGAAGACGGUACCACUUGAAUAAGCCACGGCUAACUACGUGCCAGCAGCCGCGGUAAUACGUAGGUGGCAAGCGUUGUCCGGAUUUACUGGGUGUAAAGGGCGUGCAGCCGGGCAUGCAAGUCAGAUGUGAAAUCUCAGGGCUUAACCCUGAAACUGCAUUUGAAACUGUAUGUCUUGAGUGCCGGAGAGGUAAUCGGAAUUCCUUGUGUAGCGGUGAAAUGCGUAGAUAUAAGGAAGAACACCAGUGGCGAAGGCGGAUUACUGGACGGUAACUGACGGUGAGGCGCGAAAGCGUGGGGAGCGAACAGGAUUAGAUACCCUGGUAGUCCACGCUGUAAACGAUGGAUACUAGGUGUGCGGGGACUGACCCCCUGCGUGCCGCAGUUAACACAAUAAGUAUUCCACCUGGGGAGUACGAUCGCAAGGUUGAAACUCAAAGGAAUUGACGGGGGCCCGCACAAGCGGUGGAUUAUGUGGUUUAAUUCGAAGCAACGCGAAGAACCUUACCAGGGUUUGACAUCCUGCUAACGAAGUAGAGAUACAUUAGGUGCCCUUCGGGGAAAGCAGAGACAGGUGGUGCAUGGUUGUCGUCAGCUCGUGUCGUGAGAUGUUGGGUUAAGU
rnacentral:rRNA from 1 species